GCGCCGAGCGGCUCCGUUAAAGCCGCACCGGCACCGCCUCGCGCCCGCGCGCGCCCUUCACGCUCCUCCUCCUCCUCUCUGUAGUCUUUCCGUUCACAUCUGCAGCACCUAACGAGGGCGGUGCCGUCUCCAUGGUAGGUGGUACGUGUCAAAGUAACAUCCGCAUGAAUGCCAGGACCCAAAGUUUCCCAGCAGAACGUUGCCCAGAGCGUCACACUGCCUCCACCGGCUUGCCUUCUUCCCAUAGUGCAUCCUGGUGCCACCUCUUCCCCAGGAGCUCUUCUGUGGGAUGGGACCAGACGGGCUAGCCUUCACGCCCCGCGCGCAUCAGUGAGCCUUGGGCGCUCAUGACCCUGUCGCUGGUUCACCGGUUGUUCUCCUUGGAUGACUUUUGGUAGGUACUAACCACUGCAUACCGGGAACACCCUCCAAGACCUGCUGUUUUAGAGAAGAUCUGAGCCAGUCAUCUAGCCAUCACAAUUUGGCCCUUGUCAAAGUCGCUCAGAUCCUUACACUUGCCUAUUUUUCCUGCUUCCAACACAUCAACUUUGAGAACUGACUGUUCACUUGCUGCCUAAUAUAUCCCACCCACUGACAGGUGCCACUGUAAUGAGAGAAUCAAUAUUAUUCACGUCACCUGUCAGUGGUUUUAAUGUUAUGGCUGAUUGUUGUAUAUUGGAAUUAGCAGAUUAUUAUUAUUAUUAUGCUUUAUGUAGUAUUAUGUACAUUGGGUAUAAUUGUAUAUUAAGUCUUGCCUGUGAAAUAUACUCUCAAGUCUUUUUUUGUUUAUUCAUUUGUUCAUAUUCAAUAAGCACUUUAUCCUGAUGAGGCUCGCAGUGGAUCCAGGAUCUAUCCCAGGAACACUGAGGCAUCAGGCGCAAACACACCCUGGAUGCGAGG